rnacentral:tRNA from 1 species
UCCCUGGUGGUCCAGUGGCUAAGACUCUGCGCUCUUAGUGCAGGAGGCCAGGGUUGGAUCCCUGGCCAGGGAA